rnacentral:rRNA from 1 species
GACAGAGGGUGCAAACGUUGUUCGGAAUUACUGGGCGUAAAGCGUGCGCAGGCGGUUCGUUAAGUCAGAUGUGAAAGCCCCGGGCUCAACCUGGGAACUGCAUUUGAAACUGGCGGGCUUGAGUGUGGCAGAGGGGGGUGGAAUUCCGCGUGUAGCAGUGAAAUGCGUAGAGAUGCGGAGGAACACCGAUGGCGAAGGCAGCCCCCUGGGCCAACACUGACGCUCAGGCACGAAAGCGUGGGGAGCAAACAGG